ensembl:lncRNA
UUCUGCACAAGGAGAAGGUGGCUGACUUAGCAGAGUCUGCAGAUAAAGAUGAAAGGCACAGCAGAACACACAGCAGCCAGAACACUGGGAAUCACGGCUGGACUGCCACAUCCAACCUCCCAGAACUGCAGGAAGGAGUCUGAGCCUGCCAAUCCUUCAGCCCCAGAGCUAAGAAGAGGAACUAUAGUGAGAUCCAGAUGCUUCCAGACUUGUGAGCCCAGAAUCAGCUUGACUGGCACUAGCCUGGGAUACAAACAUUGCCUGGUGCUGCAUGGCACAGCUUCCUUCCAUCUGCAUCUGAGAAACCACAGAAAAAAUAAUUCUCCCA